rnacentral:tRNA from 1 species
AGAGGUAUAGUUUAAAGGUAAAAUAUUAUCUUCCAAAGUUAAUGUUGUGGGUUCAAUUCCUGCUACCUCUG